GGCGUGUCAGGUCCUGCCGACUGCAGCCUAACUUACUGCACCUGUUCUGGAGCCUCACACUCCCUGACUGACUCACACACAGAAACCGGAGUUCUGGUGGCACCUGCAGCGUGGCCCCAACUCAGCUGGGACGAGGCUUGGACACAUCCAAAACCAACGCCACCACCAGCACCUCCCUCCCUCCCUUCACACCUCUGCCCCACUACCCAGACACUAACCCCAAACUCUAGGACACUGGGUCCACAGACAUGGCACCAAAACUCCAGUGUUUCACUGUGGGGCCGACCGGAUAUGCCGCACUGUAGACCAGCAUUUCACUGUGGGGCUGACCGGAUAUGCUGCACUGUAGACCAACGUCACCCUAACUAGCAAAUACAUGUUGCAAAUGCAUUUUGGAUCGUCUAAUUUGAAAAUGGGAUCACAAGAGAAGUUUUGUAUAAAACCAACUGUGCUUAGUCCACAGAACUGGGGUAAUGUGAAUAAUCUCAGAUAAAUAAACAAGGCAGAUUCUGUUUGCUGCUUACUGACAGAAACAUUGAUUUGUCUUCUGGUUCCCUUGGAAACCUAGAGUGGACAUAAUCAGUCAAAAAAUCGGAUUGGGGUAGAGUAUCAAUGAUGAUGUUCUUUUAUUACACAAAAGCUAACACAAUGAAUUGCCUGACCUGUUCUUGAUGUUUUCUUGACCUUCAAAAUACAUGCACAUGUUAAUUUAGCAGACACAUAUCCAGACCAACUUAGUACUGAGGGCGUACAUCUCAAAGGAUUUAAUUGUGGCCAGUUGAAGUAAUCGAACCUACAACACAUGAUUUACCAGUUUAGCAACCAAAAAUCUAUCCAGUGCAUUUCAAACCAUAC
ensembl:lncRNA